CGCCAUUAAAUUCUUACGAUUGUUUCAUCAGCAAUAGUAUUGAGCAGAAUUUGCUUUACCGCAGAUUCUUUGUGGGUCUGAUCGAUUGAAAAGAAACAAACUUUACUGAAUUUUUUUGAUUCACGGUUGCAAUUGUUUGUAGAUGAUGGGAGACAUAACAUAGAGGAAUAAUGAAAUAUAUGCAGUAGCAAAUACAGAUAGAUACGCUACCAAGUACCAGUUACAGGAGGCAUGGACCAAAUAUAUCCUCUGGCCACCAAAGAGGUUAGUCGAAGUAGAGAGCAAGAUACCUGCUGAAAGGGUUUCCUGCCUCUGCUACUUUCUUUCAAUUCAAGCGUCUACCUAAAUUCAGUCGUUUGAUUGAGGAUUUGAAGGGUUUAAGGCAGUGGGAAAGCAGAACUUCUGGUCAUCCUGAGACCUUAACACCUGGGAUUGAAAUCACUAUUGGUCCUUUGAGUCAGGGUAUUGCCUUUAAAGCGAGGCAGGAGUUAUUUAUGUGAUGACCCACGAUUCAAUUGGGGUUGGAGAAGACGUGCCCGGCCACU